GGGGAUGAAGGGCUUCGGUUCGUAAACCCCUGUCAUCUGUGAGUAAGACUCCCAAUAAAAGCUUGGGAGGUUGAUAUUAGCAGAAGAGGAAGGGACGGCUAACUCUGUGCCAGCAGCCGCGGUAAUACAGAGGUCCCAAGCGUUGUUCGGAUUUACUGGGCGUAAAGAGUGCGUAGGCGGCUAGAAAAGUUUGGUGUGAAAUCUUCGGGCUUAACCCGGAAACUGCACUGAAAACUAUCUGGCUAGAGGAUCGGAGAGGAGAUUGGAAUUCUCGGUGUAGCAGUGAAAUGCGUAGAUAUCGAGAGGAACACCAGUUGCGAAGGCGGAUCUCUGGACGGUUUCUGACGCUGAGGCACGAAAGCUGGGGUAGCGAAGAGGAUUAGAUACCCUCGUAGUCCCAGCCGUAAACGGUGCGCACUUGCUGUGGGCGGAUUCGACCCCGUCUGUGGCGAAGCUAACGCGAUAAGUGCGCCGCCUGGGGAGUACGGUCGCAAGAUUAAAACUCAAAGAAAUUGACGGGGGCCUGCACAAGCGGUGGAGUAUGUGGCUUAAUUCGAUGCAACGCGAAGAACCUUACCUGGCCUUGACAUGUAGUGGACCGGGUGCGAAAUCACCCUUUCCUUCGGGACUGCUACACAGGUGCUGCAUGGCUGUCGUCAGCUCGUGUCGUGAGAUGUUGGGUUAAGUCCCGCAACGAGCGCAACCCCCGUGUUCUGUUGCCACCCGGAUGAGAAUCCGGAGCACUCUGGACAGACUGCCUGGUUUCAACCAGGAGGAAGGUGGGGAUGACGUCAAGUCAGUAUGGCCCUUACGGCCAGGGCUGCACACGUACUACAAUGCCUGAUAUAAUGGGAAGCGAGACCGCGAGGUGGAGCAAAUCCUCAAAAUCAGGCCCAGUUCAGAUUGUAGGCUGCAACUCGCCUACAUGAAGGAGGAAUCGCUAGUAAUGCCGUAUCAGCUACGACGGCGUGAAUACGUUCCCAGGCCUUGUACACACCGCCCGUCACAUCAUGAAAGUCGAUUGUACCCGAAGUCGCUGCGUUAACCGCAAGGAGACAGGUGCCGAAGGUAUGGUUGGUAAUUGGGAUGAAGUCGUAACAAGGUAGCCGUAGGGGAACCUGUGGCUG
rnacentral:rRNA from 1 species